rnacentral:rRNA from 1 species
CCUACGGGUGGCAGCAGUGAGGAAUAUUGGUCAAUGGACGAGAGUCUGAACCAGCCAAGUAGCGUGAAGGAUGACUGCCCUAUGGGUUGUAAACUUCUUUUAUAUGGGAAUAAAAUGUUCCACGUGUGGGAUUUUGUAUGUACCUUAUGAAUAAGGAUCGGCUAACUCCGUGCCAGCAGCCGCGGUAAUACGGAGGAUCCGAGCGUUAUCCGGGUUUAUUGGGUUUAAAGGGAGCGUAGGUGGAUUGUUAAGUCAGUUGUGAAAGUUUGCGGCUCAACCGUAAAAUUGCAGUUGAAACUGGCAGUCUUGAGUACAGUAGAGGUGGGUGGAAUGCGUGGUGUAGCGGUGAAAUGCUUAGAUAUCACGAAGAACUCCGAUUGCGAAGGCAGUUCACUGGACUGCAACUGACACUGAGGCUCGAAAGUGUGGGUAUCAAACAGGAUUAGAUACCCGGGUAGUC